ACUCGGGAUUCCGAGAACUUUCUUGAUUAUUCAUUGCCAUCUAACCGGAUCUAGGAACCAUCUGUCGCGUAAGCAAAACAAUGUUGUGAGUAAACUGGAUAAACUGAUAGGCUUGCAUAUCUAGUCCAGCACUCGUCCAGCACCAUCAUAAAUCGCCUCGGCCGUAUGUAGAUGCCAUUAUUCAAGUGAAGUCUGACCAACGGAAUCGAAACCGGAUGGAAAACCAGGAUGCAAUUGGAAUCGAUUGGGGCACGAAGACAUUUCCUAUUGAAAAAGAAGGAAAGUGAUCAAGCGAUUGGUGCGAAAGGUUUUGUUUUGGAAAAGAAAACUCGGAGGAAGAAAAAUGUUUAAGCUAAUGUUGGUCGUGCUAUACUACUAUGAAGACAGAUCAAUCAGCUGGGCAAUACCGCAGAGAAAGGUUUUUCGGCAAUCGUCAGCAAUAUCAAAAGCCUCUACCUACUUCGUUUUUGAAUUUUUGCCUUGCUCCCUGCUGGCAGUUCCGGAUGAGUAGCAUCAUCAAACGAUUGUUGCAAUUUGGGACACUGGCGCGGUAAACAACCACUUUCGACGCAAAAUUAAAUUGUGCGACCGAUUGGCUCUCAUUGGGGCCGCCUCGGGAAUUGUACAUCAGCAAAUGGAAGCACUCAAUAAACCCGGAACGUUCGAUGACGGCUGGUAUGAGGGAACCGAACCAAAUCCAUCGUGAAGCGGCUGCACUGCAGAGUAAUUCCAAGGAUAAGCGCGACCGGAAGGGUUAAAAUUCGUUGCCAGGACCGUUUUUGGGAUCCGGUGGUGAUUGGUGUCGUUGAUCAUUUCCAAUCCAGGAUAAAAUACAACGAAUGCGAAUGCUGACAGGAUUCAUGGAGAAGCCGACUAUUCGUGGAAGGAAGGCACCAGACACCAGAAGUCGCGAGCUCAGCGUCGUUGACCUAGACCUCUACGGAUCGAUUCGUUCACGGUUCCAUAAGAUACAAGAC